CAAGUCGAAUGCGAAAGUAGCAAUACUAGUAGCAUGGCGAAAGGGAUAGUAAUGCAUGGGCAAUCUACCCUCGACUCCGGGAUAUGCGGUAGAAAUGCCGAGUAAUACUGGACGCCGUUAUUUGGGGACAUCCUCUGAUAACGAAAGGUCCGCUGGUCGAGGAGGAGCUCAUGUCCUAUCAGCUAGUUGGUGAGGUAACGGCUCACCAAGGCGACGACGGGUAGCGGGUGUGAGAGCACGACCCGCAUCACUGGCACUGAGACACUGGCCAGACUCCUACGGGAGGCUGCAGUCGAGAAUCUUCGGCAAUGGACGAAAGUCUGACCGAGCGACGCCGCGUGGAGGAUGAAGGCCUUCGGGUUGUAAACUCCUGUUGGGAGGGAGCAAAUUUUGAGCGACCUCCUGAGGAAGCACGGGCUAAGUUCGUGCCAGCAGCCGCGGUAAGACGAACCGUGCGAACGUUAUUCGGAAUCAUUGGGCUUAAAGGGCGCGUANGCGGCGGCGUAAGUUGGAAGUGAAAUCCCAUCGGCUCAACCGUGGAAUCGCUCCCAGUACUGCGUCGCUCGAGGGGGAUAGGGGUCUGCGGAACUACCGGUGGAGCGGUGAAAUGUGUUGAUAUCGGUGGGAACGCCAGUGGCGAAAGCGGCAGACUUGACCCUUCCUGACGCUGAGGCGCGAAAGCUAGGGGAGCAAACGGGAUUAGAUACCCCGGUAGUCCUAGCCUUAAACGUUGGGUACUGAGUAGAAAGGGGACCGAUACCCCCUUCUGCUGGAGCGAAGUGUUAAGUACCCCGCCUGGGGAGUAUGGUCGCAAGGCUGAACUCAAAGGAAUUGACGGGGGC
rnacentral:rRNA from 1 species